UACGGUGAUCCUAGAAACCAACAAAAUAGAACCAAACCGUCCUAUUUUAUUAUUCCAUGCUAAUGUAUUCAGACGGAUGCCUGCUUUAAACACUCUAAUUUUUUCAAAGUAACAGUCCUGAUUUCCCCCCACACCAACUGAAUGGCAUGAAGAUUCCUCAGAAGGUAGGAACUCGUCACACCAGUUCAGACAGUUAAGCCUGACCA
rnacentral:misc_RNA from 1 species